rnacentral:tRNA from 30 species
GCCCCGUUCGUCUAGCGGCCUAGGACGUCGGCCUCUCACGCCGGUAACACGGGUUCAAAUCCCGUACGGGGUACAA